AUGAGGACAAAUUAAAGAGAAAUAAGAUGCCUGGAAAGCAGUCAGAUGCGUCUUCCAGUGAACAUGGGUCACCAGAAAAAGAUCUUAAUUCAUCAAAAGAGGACAUAAGUAUCUCUGAGGCCACUGCCAAUGAACAAACUGCACCUACAAAUGAAGUUCCUGUCAAAGGAAAAAGAGGCAGAAAAAGAAAGGU